CCGCGCGCGCUGGGCUGGCGGGUGGCGCGCGCCUCUACCUCGACCCGGCUUUUCCCGCCUCCCUGGGGUUUUAAAGGCCCAGAGAAGGCUCCCUCGUCUCAGGCCUGGAGUUUCCUGCUCUGUGGACUCUUGCAGAACUCGCCCACGCAAGCUCUCGGCAGUCGCUGAAAAGGUGACAGAGGCCCAGUGAAAGGAAGUGAUUUUCCAAGGACACACCGGUUCUGAGAGUCCCUGCAGAGAUAAAGUGGUCAGGACGGCCUGAAGAAAUUUCUGUAGAUGGCCCUGGGAUAAGAAGGAGAAGUAACAAGUUUCCUGGCCUUCCCUGUGGAACUCCCAGCCUGGCUGGAGCUGAGUUGAUGGGGAUGAAGUCUAGACGGAGUCAGCCAGAGUCCAGGCGCCAUCGUCUCCCUGCUGCUCAGAGUGGCCUUUGGAGAAGACUUCCCAGAAAAGAUCCCAAAGAGUUCCAGUACCAGAGGUUGGUGAUGCAGAGAUGAAUUAGAUGCGGUCCCUGCCUCCACAAGGGUCUCAGCCCACUGCGGUAGACACAAGUACAGAGUCUGGCAGGCAGACAAGGUACAGAUGGAAAUCUUCCUGGACUCAGACCAAGAGGAGAAGAAAGGGUGGGAAAGGUUUGCCCCACGACCUGCAGUAGCACUGGGUAAACCCAACUCAGACUGAUACUGGGAGAUUAGCUGGAGGACUCGUGCCUUUGACCCCCACUGGCUGGUCCAGCGCUUCACCAAGUUCUGCAACAUCCAUGGCCUCUUGGACUUUUCACAACAGUGUGAUAGCUGAGGAAAUGGAGGCUCAGAAACAUUAAUGUCUUACCCCAGGCCACAGAGCUAACUGGUGAAAGGGCCCAGACAGCAAUCCCAGAUCUCCUAACAACUUGUCCAGUGCUUGUCCGUGAUGUGUUUCUGACCUCGUGGAUGGCAUCGCCCUUUCAUAGCUCUAACUGUCCCCCAUAGAGGGGUAAGAGGAGCAUCAGUGUUUAACUGGAAAUGCCCAUGCCCUCAGCACUCUGCUAUGAGCUCCAAGAGAUAAGAAGACAUAAAAGUUGUCCUUGUUCUCAAUGCUCAUUCAUUCAUUUACUCACUCAUUCAUGCAUUCCAAGAGUUCACGAGGUGUCAGACCCUGUGAGGAGGACCUAAUACUCCUCAAGGGGCUCACUAUGUAAUGAAGGAGACAGAAUCAGAAGUCAGCCACUCCCAUUCAAGGGGAGAAGCUAAAAUAAGGGUGUCCGGAGUGUGUUGAGCAUGCUCUCGACAGGACUUCACGUUGCCUGUGCGAUCCAGGGAGGCAUCCUGGAAAGGAGCUGAGUGUGGAAAGGUCUAUCGCUGCUGCGGGAGUGGGAUCUGACACCUGACACGACAGAGGCAGAGGCUCAGCACAGUCAGCAGCUCAGUGGACCUCCAGCCUCCCUAGAAGCUCCUCCUCUGGUGCCCUGAAGCCUUCUUCUGGGUCCUUAAGCAGAAGCAGAGUUCAGCGAGGGUUGACAGCAGUGGAUUUCUAGCUGGCUUUGAAGCCAUUGCAUCCUGCCUCAACUGCCGACUAGCUGUGUGACCUUGGGCAAGUUGCUUACUCACUCUGUUGCCUAGAUUUCCUUAUCUAUAAAGAUAGUAAUAGUACCUACCUCUUAAGGUUGUUGUGAUGAUUAAAUGAUUUAAUGUGUUUAAAGCACUUAGAACAGUGUAGAAGUGAUUGAGUGUGCAGUAAAGUGGGCUUUUAUUACCAUCACACUCAUUUGCUGGAGGGGAAUUAUGUGUUUACGGGUGUAUCUGACCAGUCCGGGAGUUCCUUGGGGGCAAGUAUCUUUGGGCCCAGCAGAGGGCCGGGGACAGAGCAGGCUGUCAGGGAAUAUCGGUUGAAUGGAAUGGAGAUGAUGGUGAAGACAGAUUCAAGAGCUAUUUAGGAGUUAAACUGUGCAUCCCUGGAGGACUGAUUGGACAUGAGGGAGAGGGUUAAUGAAGAGAAUAAAAUCAUUCCCAGGCUUUGUACCGGGACAGGAAGAGGACAGUGAUGCCAUGGCUGGGACAGGGAGUUUGAGAGAAGGAGUUGAUUCAGA